GACGAACGCUGGCGGCGUGCUUAACACAUGCAAGUCGAACGGAAAGGCCCUGCUUUUGUGGGGUGCUCGAGUGGCGAACGGGUGAGUAACACGUGAGUAACCUGCCCGUGACUUUGGGAUAACUUCAGGAAACUGGGGCUAAUACCGGAUAGGAGCUCCUGCUGCAUGGUGGGCGUUGGAAAGUUUCGGCGGUUGGGGAUGGACUCGCGGCUUAUCAGCUUGUUGGUGGGGUAGUGGCUUACCAAGGCUUUGACGGGUAGCCGGCCUGAGAGGGUGACCGGCGACAAUGGGACUGAGAUACGGCCCAGAAUCCUACGGGAGGCAGCAGUGGGGAAUAUUGCACAAUGGGCGGAAGCCUGAUGCAGCAACGCCGCGUGCGGGAUGACGGCCUUCGGGUUGUAAACCGCUUUCGCAUGUGACGAAGCGUGAGUGACGGUAAUGGGUAAAGAAGCACCGGCUAACUACGUG
rnacentral:rRNA from 1 species